rnacentral:rRNA from 1 species
GAAAAUCAAAGGAAUGGACGGGGGUCCGCACAAGCUGUGGAGCAUAUUGUCUAAUACGAAGCAACGCGAAGAAACUUACCAGGUCGUGACAUCCUCUGAAAACCCUAGAGAUAGGGCUUCUACUUCCGGAGCAGAAUGACAGGUGGUGCAUGGUUGUUGUCAGCUCGUGUCGUGAGAUGUUGGGUUAAGUCCCGCAACGAGCGCAACCCUUGAUCUUAGUUGCCAUCAUUAAGUUGGGCACUCUAAGGUGACUGCCGGUGACAAACCGGAGGAAGGUGGGGAUGACGUCAAAUCAUCAUGCCCCUUAUGACCUGGGCUACACACCUGCUACAAUGGACGGUACAAAGAGCUGCAAGACCGCGAGGUGGAGCUAAUCUCAUAAAACCGUUCUCAGUUCGGAUUGUAGGCUGCAACUCGCCUACAUGAAGCUGGAAUCGCUAGUAAUCGCGGAUCAGCAUGCCGCGGUGAAUACGUUCCCGGGCCUUGUACACACCGCCCGUCACACC